GAGGUAGGUUUCACCAUGUUGGCCAGGCUGGUCUCGAACUCCCGACUUCAAUUGAUUUGCCCACCUCAGCCUCCCAAAGUGCUGGAAUUACAGGCAUAAGCCAUCAUGGUUGGCCUCCCCUAAUUAGCUUCUUUAAUCCUCUACAUCAUCACAAGAUGGGUGUUACUGUGAUCACUAUUUUACAGCUACCCAAGGUGUGAAAACGAAAGAAGGCCAAAGGGAAGAAGGUGGUACCGACCCUUGCUGUCUUGAAAACGCAGGAGACCAUGAAAGUGGUGAAUCUUCCGUUUGAGAAAUUUGGCACUGGACAGUACAUUUUGGCAUUGGACAGAACAUCCAGCCCAAAAGGGACCUCACUUGCUUUGUCAAAUGGCCUCAUUAUACUAGGUUGCAGCAGCAGAGAGCCAUCCUCUAUAAGCAGCUAGAAGUGCCUUCUGUGAUUAAUCAGUUCACCAGGGCCUUGGACCACCAAACAGCUACUCAACGGGGUAAGCUGGCUGGCAAGUACAGACUAGAGACAAAGCAAGAGAAGCAGCAGAGUCUGUUGGCCUGGGCUGAGAAGAAAGCAAAGGAGACAACCCCACUAAGAGAUCACCUGUUCUUUUAACGGGGGUUAACGCUGUCACCACCUUAGUGGAGAAAAAGAAGGCUCAGCUGGUAGUGACUGCAUAGGACAUAGAUCCCAUUGAGUUGGUUGUCUUCCUGCCUGCCCUGUGUUGUAAACUGGGGGUUCCUUACUGCAUUAUCUAAUGGAAGGCAAGCUUGAGACAUCUAGGGUUAAAAAACAAGCAAACAAACAAACAACUCUUUAAAAUAUUCUUUUAAAACUUCUAAUCAUUAGUUUUAUCUCUUCAGUACAUUAAAAUGUCUGGUGGUAGGAAAAUACUGGACUCAUAUAUGACUGUCUAUGUGUUUUGCAGGGCCCAGUGCAAAAUGAAAUGGAAGUUGUACCUCGUUCAAAGUGUUAAGCAUUUCAAGAUGGCAACAGCAGAGCAUUAGGCCGAGUAUGAGGUCAUUAUGUACACGGGUCCUUGUGUGACCACACAGGUCACAGGAACAUGAAGCUAGACCUGCGUGUAUAUUCAGAUAGGUAAAUCUUACAGAUUUUUAAAACUCAAUAAAAGAAAAACUACAUUUCAUGUGUGAACACAAAAAUUGGAAUUAAAUUGGCAAUAGUACUGGGAUUUGUGCUCAGAGUCACAGUUUACAUCUGACCACCAUUUCUAUAUGAAUUUUUAAGAUAAAACCAUAAGAAUUUUAAAGAAGGUUUCUGAAAUUUAGAAAUUAUAAUAAUGUAAUUAACUUUGAUAUUUUAAUUCCAUGUAAUUUAAAACAUUCAAUAGAUAUAUAAUGUUCCACUAUUCAUUUAACUAGAAGUAUAAAAAUAAAACAUAUUUAAUAAAAAUAUUCUACUUAUUUUUAAAUUACCUAUAUUAUAUUGAAUAAAAGAAAAUUUGGGAAUAUAAAUAAAUGAGCAUUUUUGAACAUGUAAAAUAUUGUCUUGCUGUUUUUAGGAGACUUUUAGCAGGACAAGAGCUUACGUCUGAUCUACCUCUGCUUGGACAAACCAGUGAUGUGAUUUGCAAAUAGGUUGUAACUUCACCCAACACACAUCACAGCAAAGAAAUGUAGUGACUUUCAGAGAAUUUGACCUAACUAAGAAUUUGUAAAAGAGAAAAGCAUUGUCCUUAUGGUUAAACUACAUGACCGUUUUUUUUUAAGUUACAUGUAUAUUUACCUGACCAACUUGUUUUACUCUGUAUUUCAGGUUAUCAGGUGAAAUUAUUUUGGAAUAAAUUAAUGAGCUGUUUUUUCUGAAUAAAUGUGCAUGUUACAAAUGCAAACACGUGUAUGUAUUAUACAACUAUGCAGCUUCAAGAACUGACUUAUUUCUAUCAGCUUUUUAUUCACUUUAAAAAAUCAGGCUACUGAAGCAUAUUAGAAUUUAAUUACACCAAUUAUUACUGCCACAUCAGACAUAUGAUGUGCCUUCAAUUAAGAAGUACCUAAUGGAUAUUAGUACAAUUUAGCUUCAUAAUUAAAGUUCUAAGAACAGCACAAAUUAAACAUUAUGAUUACAAAACAUUAAAAAUCUACUGGUGAAAUUAAAGCUGAAUAUUUUAGCUUCUCCUUUUGAGCUGAUUUUAAAAAAGAAAAUCAAGAUUAUAUAAAAUGCAAUGUUAUUAUUGAAGCAUUCUGAAUUUAAAAACAGAAAUUAAGCUCAUGUGCCCAUAAAUAUGUGCAUAUAUAAUUAUUAUUUAAUAAAAUAUCCAACUUAACACUUAUGUCACCUAAUAAGCAUUAAAGGUUAUCAUUUUGGAGUUUCACUUG